GAGUAGAAAAGUCAGCUAAGAACAAAGAAUAGGAACGUUAGACAAUAGAAAGAGAAAAAAUAUGGGAGGGCCAUCUUUAUCUUUGUCUAAUGUUGCGCGCGCAUCGAACUUCAAAAGCUGAGUGGAGAGACGCGUUGUUUUGAGUUUUGAGGAGAAGUUUCUUUAGUAAACGCUGUGAUCUGUGAUAGAGAAAUAUUAUCAUUUUGCUCGUUCUUACAGAAGACAGAGAUGUCUUUGCACGAUAAAUUUCUGUCUUAUUUCAUUAUUAUUUUCAACGUGGCUUACGCAACAUUUAUAAAAUUAUAACAAAUUAUGACGAAAGCGUGUGUUGUAUGUAAAAAACAACCCACUCCCUUCGAUAGAUCUCGAAGUUUUCACAAUUAUGAUAUAACCAAAAUAUCACUUAACCUAAAAUUCAAGAAAAAAUGUAACGGAACGCAAUUCGCGUCAUGUGAAAAUGCAAAGUAUUAUUUUAUCUUUAAUUCCGAAUUACAAAUUUCCUGAUACUGUUGAGUUAAAAAAGAAAUGGAUGGAAGUUAUUGAUGUGACAACAAUUUCAAGUUCAGCCAGACUGUGUAGUGAUCACUUCCAUAAUGAUUCGUUUCAACAAACUGAUGGAUAUACAACUUUGAGACGGUUAACAUCAACUGCUGUUCUUUUUGAUCAAAACGACAAUCAAUUAUCUUUACAAAUCAACAAUGUACCUACUCAAGUACUUGGCGAUGUAAUUAAUCAUUAAGAUAUGACAAGUGCUGAAAAUACAUCAUUUUCAACAAAAACAGAUACUAGUGGCUUUAAGAUACAUAAUCAUUUAAGUUCCAGAAACAGUAUUAAAAGAAAAUCAUCUGCUGUCAACAUUUCCCCAACAAAAAAAUUUCGUUUCAUGGUCGGAAAUCAGUCAGAGUCUUUUUCAAGAGAGGACUUCACUUCAAAUAAAGCAUGGGAGCGGUUUGUAAGAGUUAUGACUUAUGAACAAUCUAAGAAAUCUGCUUCCCAUGUGAAGAUGAUUAGAACAGAAAAAAAUUAAUUAUAUGAAAGAAAUGAUUAAAACUAUGAAGGAGAAAUAAUUUUUUGAAGCUGUUGAAUAUUUACAGGAAUUACCUCAACACUUACAAGAGUUGAUAUUUCGUAUGAAAGAAAAUAAAGUUACAGCUUCCUUUCCUGCUCAGUUAAAACAUUUUGCUAGAACCUUACAUUUUCACUCUCCAGCUGCUUACGAAUUUGUGAGACGCAGCUAUCUCAAAUGUUUGCCUUGCGUUGAAACACUCAAUCAUUGGUUGUCUUCAAAAAAUUAUAAACCAGGUAUUUCUGAUGAACUAAUAAGACACGUGUCAAACAUGGUAAAGCAAGAAUUUCAGAAAGGUAAGAAACUUAUUUUCAACCUUACGUUUAAUGAAAUAAACAUUCAUAAAUGAAAACAUUGGGAUAAAAAAGCUCACAAAUGGAAAGGUGUUGUCGAUUUAGGUGGACAGUUGGAUGAAGUUAACAAUAACAAUGAACUUAAGAUAGCUACUAAAGCAUUGAUUUUUAUGUUAGUCAGCAUUAAUGGGUCGUUUAAAACACCCAUUGCACAUUAUUUAAUUAACUCUUUAACAGGCAAAGAAAAGGCAGUACUUUUAAAAGAUCUAUUGAUAAAACUUAGCCAAAAUGAUAUUGAAGUAGUUAGUAUUACUUUUGAUGGUGAUAAAGCACAUGCAAAAGCAUGUGAAGUAUUAGACGCUAAUUUUAAUUACAGAGAUAAGAGCAAUUUUAAGCCCUAUUUUGAACACCCAAAUACUUUAAGACCUGUCUACGUGUUUUUCGAUCCGUGUCAUGCACUCAAGUUAGUAAGAAAUUAUUUUGCGUUAAAAGGACCUAUAAUAUAUGAUAAAAAAGAAAUUAUUAAUUGGACGUAUAUUAAAAAAUUACACAACAAACAAAUUAGUGAAGGCUUGCACUGUGCAUGCAAGAUACGAGAUAGGCAUAUUUAUUUUCAUAAUGAGAAAAUGAAAGUGUCACUGGCGACACAAGUAUUGGGUUCAAGCGUAUCAAUUGCAUUACGUUUUCUUGAAUUUGAAGUUAAAGAUGAAAAAUUUGAAAAAGCUUCGUCUACAGCGAAAUUUUGUAAAACAUUUAAUGAUAUUUUCGAUCUAUUAAAUGUGAAAAACAAAUUUUGUAAGACGCCAGGACGAAAAAGUAUUACCAAAGAUGUUUUACCUGAAUUAAAAACAAAAAUUGAAGAAUAUAUUAAGUAUAUUAAAAAAUUAGAAAUAGAUGUGCCUGUCAUG